rnacentral:lncRNA from 1 species
AGCUAGAUUGAGGGUGAGGUUAGAGUGGCACAUGGCUCUGUACCCCAUUGGGUACCUCCAGCAGGCCGGGCACUGCAGCCCCUUGGCCUCCGGCACUCUGCGAGGGAACAUGCUGGCAUGAGUUUGCUGGUCCCGAUGGGGAAGAGUCAGGGAUCCCUGAGAGAGCCUGUCAGGAGGAGAGAAGGGACGCCGGGGUGAAAGGGAGGAAGGAGGUGGCAGAAGAGGCCUCGAGGAUGACGUGGGGCUGUAGAUGCAGGAGGCAGCUGGAGCCUGUGGCACUGGGGCAUGGCGGGCCUCAAGGAUUUCACUGCCACCCUUGCCGAGGAGGGUACCCUGAGGUACACCGUGGAAGGAGGAAGGGAAGGAGCGCUGGCCAGGCAGAUGGAGAGACGCACAGUUACCACCUCCGCCCAGGCUACUUCCGGGCGUGCCACAGGGGCCCGGCCCUGCCUUCAGCAUCUCCAGAGGUGGAGCUGACGGUGGGGUCCUCGUUGGACAUCAGAUUCCACACUGAGAUGAGCCUGGGAAGCAGCCAGGGCCAGAGAAGACAGCACGAAGCACGCAGGCGUCAAGGCGACCUCCGGCAUUCCCUGGGACCUAUCGUGCGUCCGCCCGCAGACAUUCCUCAACAGAGAUCUGUGAUUUAAAACACUACCUCGGUGGUUCGUGAGUGUCAGGAUUCAUGCUAAGCAGGCGCCCUCCUCGGGACACAUGGAUGGUGCGUUCUCUUGUACAGUAGGAGAGGCCCCUGGGCUCUGAUCAAUGUCAGAGGCGGGGUCUCCCCGUGGGGCUGUGGGGGCGGCCAAAGGCCAAGGCCCACUUCAGGUCCCUCCUCUCAGCAGCAGCCACUGUGUCCAGAGAAACUCACAGCUCGGGACUGAGCCUCGGGAUGGUGGCCUGUGCUUGAGAGCCCCCUCCGGGUAGAGUCGUGGCUGCUCCAUCCGAGGACCUCUGCGGUGGUGGGAUGGACAAAAAUGCCGGGAAUUUAACCUGCAGUUCUGCUAGAAGAUUUGAUAGAUGGGCUGCGGCCCCUUUAGCAGGCGUGGCAGCACUAGCAUUUCCUGCCCAUUCAAUGAAUAGUCCCCGUGCUGAGCAUUUUACUUGUAAAUAACCAAAGAAUCACAAGAAGCAUCAAGAAGGACAGCCCAUAGAAGUAUUAACCAGCAAGAAAAAGUUUUGGAUCAAAAAAAGUUUUUUCUAAAAUGGGGGAAAAAAAGCAAUAAAUUGGAACCCGCCACCCGCAACCCUCAUCUCAAAUGCUUCUCCAACAAGAAUGGGUACUAGGCUUAAUACCUUCGUGACAAAGUAAUCUUUACAACAAACCCCUGCGACUCGAGUUUACCCCAUAACAAACCUGCACGUGUGCCCCUGAACUUAAAUAAAGGGCGCCUCCGGGGGUCAUCUCCGUCAUCAUUAGACGGCACACCUGCCGGAAUCGACCGUGCCCAAAUCCCAGUGAAUGAAACACAUGAUAAACUCAGACAAUGAAUACAGAACAAAAGGAGGAAAAAUAAAUGUAAAUGGAGGAGCGAGAUUCAGAAGCGGAACGGAGCCUGGAGAGUAAGAGAGCUAAGCUGCAAGCCACCGCAGCUCCUGCAGAAGAAGCGAGGCAGACGGCCCGGAAACCACGGUGCUGUCGUCGAGGGCGAUUCUGGAACUGGAAAAAUAACUAAGAUUGGAAAAGGAGGGCUUGUGGAAUCCUGAGUCAGCAGCAACUGAGGUGACAGGAGGCGUCCUUGGAAGGUGUUUCGCCACAGGGAGGAUCUGUAGGAGCUGAGGGCAAUGCACUGGUCCCUGAGCAGUCCCCAGCCAGCCACCAACCAACCCAUGGUGCUUCCUAGACAUUCCUGGAAUGAAAGACCAAACACAUCAGAAAGGUCUGGGGCUAUCUGGUGAGACAAAUAAAAGGAGAAGGUGGCAGAAUGACAUCUAUGGGGAAAGUGGCUCCAUGUCCACUGAUGAUGCCAUCUAGACGCAGAGGCCAUGGGAAGCGUUUCUCGCAUGAAUGCCCACCAGAUACCCACAUUCCUGAGCCGGGCACCACUGCCGAUGAGGUAAUGGGCACUGGCAAGCAAAUCAACCCCCAAACUUAACCGAGCAGAGGCUGGUGAGGAGAGACAGCUUGGAGAGCCGCUGGUGUCGCGAAGGUCAGGUCACGCACGCUGGGGUGGUGAGGACAGCUUCGAAGCUUUAGACUUGCUUUUCACAAAAGGCUGGAGGAAAGACUUUUUUAAAUGAGAAAGAUACACGUAUAAAGAGAAUUAAGAAAUUUUGCA